rnacentral:rRNA from 1 species
UACGUAGGGUGCGAGCGUUGUCCGGAAUUACUGGGCGUAAAGAGCUCGUAGGUGGUUUGUCGCGUUGUUCGUGAAAACUCACAGCUUAACUGUGGGCGUGCGGGCGAUACGGGCAGACUGGAGUACUGCAGGGGAGACUGGAAUUCCUGGUGUAGCGGUGGAAUGCGCAGAUAUCAGGAGGAACACCGGUGGCGAAGGCGGAUCUCUGGGCCUUACCUGACGCUGAGGCGCGAAAGCUAGGGGAGCGAACAGG